AUACCUUACCUGGUGCCGGGGCCUCGUUGAUAACCGAGGACGAGCCCCUAGGACAAGGCGCGGGCAUUGCUCUGCGCUCGCGUUGACUUCUACCGCUACCACAAACUGGGCCAGAUGGGACAUGCAAAUGGC
rnacentral:snRNA from 1 species